rnacentral:rRNA from 1 species
GACGGGUAUCCGGCCUGAGAGGGUGAACGGACACACUGGAACUGAGACACGGUCCAGACUCCUACGGGAGGCAGCAGUAGGGAAUAUUGCUCAAUGGGGGAAACCCUGAAGCAGCAACGCCGCGUGGAGGAUGAAGGUUUUCGGAUUGUAAACUCCUUUUGUUAGAGAAGAUAACGACGGUAUCUAACGAAUAAGCACCGGCUAACUCCGUGCCAGCAGCCGCGGUAAUACGGAGGGUGCAAGCGUUACUCGGAAUCACUGGGCGUAAAGAGCGCGUAGGCGGAAUAGCAAGUCAGAUGUGAAAUCCUAUAGCUUAACCAUAGAACUGCAUUUGAAACUGUUAUUCUA